GAAGGAGUUUUUUCUUUCUCUUGUUAAACAAAUUGCAGUGUUUUUUCUUUUUUUUUCUGGACCCAUAAACAUUGCUGGGAAAACAGCACUGUGAACAAAUGCAUUCAGCAGGAAUGGAUGUUCUCCUCUGUAGGACUGUGCAAGUACUAGAGGGAAUACCUAGGAAUACAUAGAAUCUGGGAAAUCAGUCUUUAUUCUCUAAAUUCAGUGGUGUAUUGGGUAUCUUGUUACAUUCUUCCAGGUCAGUUGAAGAGUGACAGUAGAACCACUUGGAUCAAUCCGGAUGGUGGGUAUAUUCAUUUCUAAACCUCUCAGAGAGUGGGAUUGUUUAGGCUGUGCAUCCAGAGGGGACCAAAGAAGCAGACUAAGCAUAGCCCUUGAAAUAGCCAGUAGAAACAUACAAAGGUCACAGAGCAGGAAACUGGUGACUAAAUCUCUUGUAAUAAGAAAACGUUGCUCUUCCAACCUUUUUCCUCCACAUUUCUUUGAAAGAAAGCAUAGCUGUAAAAUACAACAAACCCAGCCAUUCAGUAACAGCGGAUUUCUCAGGUUGAUAAUGGAAUCUCUGAUCAAAUCUAGAUGUUUUCAGUUCAGAGCAGCUACUAAUAAAGAGAAUAUAUGUCUUGGAAUGAAUGUGACCAGGUCUCAGAUGAAGAGGAUUAUUCAUAAUUAUCAGUAGUUGAAAUUUCACAGGGGUAAUGCCUCCCUCCCCAGCUGAUCUCUUUGCUAUUUCAGUCAGCUGACUCUUUUCCAAAGAGGAAAGAUUGUUUUUGUUUGUUUGUUCAGGGGAGGGAGGGAAGAGAGAGCAAAAAAAACCAAAAAUCCCAACUAAAUGAACCAAAACCACUACAAAAGGCUUAGUUUAUCCUGUGGUGGGACAUGAAAAAUUUCUGAAGUCUCAGAAAAUUUCACAGGAUGAGAAAACCAUUAUCUGAACAGAUUUAUUUGCAAAGAGAUGUUCAAGAAGAAAAGGAAUCUGAACUAGCUUUUUUCGAACAGAUUAUUUAACUCAAAAUAACUUUGACGAGUCCAUUUGUUCCCAAGGUCAUUAAAAUACCAUCUUACAGACAGCUUUUUCUAACAUGUAAGUCAUCAAGUUCAGUUCCAAAGUGAAUUAAGGUAAAUCAGAUGGAAGCCAUAUUAGUUCCAAUUUGGAUAGGUUGUCCAGAGGUUUGACGUAGUUUAAUAAUGAGCUUUAAAUUCACUGCCUUGGUAAAUUAAGAUGAACCAAGCUGCAUGUUCCUGUGCAGGCAAAACUGUUCCAGGAGCUUCUGACAGUCUACUGAAGUUCAUCUACAUGCGAUAUCCUUUCCUGCUUGCUUACAC
ensembl:lncRNA